rnacentral:lncRNA from 1 species
CCGACCUGGUUUUCGACCCGAGAAAAUCCUCCUCCUACUCCUCCCUCCCUUGCUCCUCCCCUCUCUGCCGCCGCCUCGACUCCCCCGGCUGCAGCUCAAAGUCCAAAACCUGCCUCUACCAAGUCUCCUACGGCGACGGCUCCUUCACCUUCGGCGACUUCUCCACCGAAACCCUCACCUUCCGCCGCUCCAAAGUCCCCAAAGUCGCCCUCGGCUGCGGCCACGACAACGAAGGCCUCUUCGUCGGCGCCGCCGGCCUCCUCGGCCUCGGCCGCGGCAAGCUCUCCUUUCCUACCCAGACCGGCUCACGCUUCAACUCCAAAUUCU